rnacentral:rRNA from 1 species
ACGGCGAGUGAAGCGGUAACAGCUCAAAUUUGAAAGCUAGCUCUUUUAGGGUUCGCAUUGUAAUUUGUAGAAGAUGCUUCGGGUGUGGCCCCGGUCUAAGUUCCUUGGAACAGGACGUCAUAGAGGGUGAGAAUCCCGUAUGUGACUGGGUGCUUUCGCUCAUGUGAAGCUCUUUCGACGAGUCGAGUUGUUUGGGAAUGCAGCUCAAAAUGGGUGGUAAAUUUCAUCUAAAGCUAAAUAUUGGCCAGAGACCGAUAGCGCACAAGUAGAGUGAUCGAAAGAUGAAAAGCACUUUGGAAAGAGAGUUAAACAGUACGUGAAAUUGUUGAAAGGGAAGCGCUUGCAACCAGACUUGCGCGCUGAUGAUCAUCCGGGCUUCUGCCCGGUGCACUCGUCUGCGCUCAGGCCAGCAUCGGUUUCGGUGGUGGGAUAAAGGCCUUGGGAAUGUAGCUUCUUUCGGGGAGUGUUAUAGCCCUCGGUGCAAUGCCGCCUACCGGGACCGAGGACCGCGCUUCGGCUAGGAUGCUGGCGUAAUGGUUGUAAGCGACCCGUCUUGAAACACGGACCAAGGAGUCUAACAUCUAUGCGAGUGUUUGGGUGUCAAACCCAUACGCGUAAUGAAAGUGAACGGAGGUGAGAACCCUUAAGGGUGCAUCAUCGACCGAUCCUGAUGUCUUCGGAUGGAUUUGAGUAAGAGCAUAGCUGUUGGGACCCGAAAGAUGGUGAACUAUGCGUGAAUAGGGUGAAGCCAGAGGAAACUCUGGUGGAGGCUCGCAGCGGUUCUGACGUGCAAAUCGAUCGUCAAAUUUGCGUAUAGG